ACUGCCAAGGAUGGCAGUGGUUCCAAUACAGCAGCGAUGUUUUGUGCGUGCACAAAACUCGCCUUCAACUGUUGUACACGGAUGUACAACAGUUGAAGAUG
rnacentral:sRNA from 1 species